GUAGGGUGCGAGCGUUGUCCGGAAUUACUGGGCGUAAAGAGCUCGUAGGUGGUUUGUCGCGUUGUUCGUGAAAACUCACAGCUUAACUGUGGGCGUGCGGGCGAUACGGGCAGACUAGAGUACUGCAGGGGAGACUGGAAUUCCUGGUGUAGCGGUGGAAUGCGCAGAUAUCAGGAGGAACACCGGUGGCGAAGGCGGGUCUCUGGGCAGUAACUGACGCUGAGGAGCGAAAGCGUGGGGAGCGAAC
rnacentral:rRNA from 1 species